rnacentral:lncRNA from 1 species
AUGAACUUGCAGAUAGAUGUUCAAGCUGGUUUUAGAAAAGGCAGAGGAACCAGACAUCAAACUGCCAACAUCUGCUGGAUCAUGGAAAAAGCAAGAAAGUUCCAGAAAAACAUCUAUUUCUGCUUUAUUGACUAUGCCAAAGACUUUGACUGUGUGGAUUACAAUAAACUGUGGAAAAUUCUGAAAGAGAUGGGAAUACCAGACCACCUGAUCUGCCUCUUGAGAAAUCUGUAUUCAGGUCAGGAAGCAACAGUUAGAACUGGACAUGGAACAACAGACUGGUUCCAAAUACGAAAAGUAGUAUGUCAAGGCUGUAUAUUGUCACCCUGCUUAUUUAACUUCUAUGCAGAGUACAAUAUGAGAAACACCGGGCUGGAGGAAGCACAAGCUGGAAUCAAGAUUGCCGGGAGAAAUAUCAAUAACCUCACAUAUGCAGAUGACACCACCCUUAUGGCAGAAAGUGAAGAGGAACUAAAGAGCCUCUUGCUGAAAGUGAAAGAGGAGAGUGAAAAAGUUGGCUUAAAGCUCAACAUUCAGAAAAUGAAGAUCAUGGCAUCUGGUCCCAUUACUUCAUGGCAAAUAGAUUGGGAAACAGUGGAAACAGUGGCUGAAUUUAUUUUGGGGGGCUCCAAAACCACUGCAGAUGGUGAUUGCAGCCAUGAAAUUAAAAGACGCUUACUCCUUGGAAGGAAAGUUAUGACCAACCUAGACAGCAUAUUUAAAAACAGAGACAUUACUUUGCCAACAAAGGUCCAUCUAGUCAGGGCUAUUGAUUUUCCAGUGGUCAUGUAUGGAUGUGAGAGUUGGACUGUGGAGAAGGCUGAGCGCCAAAGAAUUGAUGCUUUUGAGCUGUGGUUUUGGACAAGACUCUUGAGAGUCCCUUGGACUGCAAGGAGAUCCAACCAGUCCAUUCUAAAGGAGAUCAGUCCUGGGUGUUCAUUGGUAGAAAUGAUUUUGAAGCUGAAACUCCAAUACUUUGGCCACCUGAUGCAAAGAGCUGACUCAUUUGAAAAGACCCAGAAGCUCGGAGGGAUUAGGGGCAGGAGGAGAAGGGGACAACAGAGGAUGAGAUGGUUCGAUGGCAACACUGACUCAGUGGACAUGGCUUUCAGUGGACUCCAGGAGUUGGUGAGGGACAGGGAGGUCUGGUGUGCUGUGGUUCAUGGCGUCCCAAAGAUUCGGACACGACUGAGAGACUGA